GUUAGAUACAAGUCAGAAUAGAAAAUCAAAACCCUAAGGCGGCUCGUUUGCAAAACCACAACUCUCUUCGAUCUCUUUCUCUGUGUGGUGCCGGUAAGGCUUUUUUUUUUCCUUCAGAAUUUUGAAUUCAGAUUCAGCUCCAACCACCUCUUUGAUUCUUUCUCCCAAUUCUGUUAGUUUUUUCUGUUUUCUUCGAAAUUACCCUUUGUAUUUUUUCCUCCUCAAUCAUAAAUUGGUUCGAUUCUCUUUCGAUUGCGCAAUUCUAUACAAAAUUAGUAAUAAUUGGGGUUGGCGAAAACAAAUUUGACGAAGGUAUAGUUGAAUCGGUUCGGUUUUAGCUUCUGGAUUUCGUUCGGGUUAAUUGUGUUGACAGAAGGCUGAACAAUUAGGGUUCUUUUAGGGAUUUUAACCGAUAGAUUCUUUUAUUGAUUUGUCGAGCGGGGCUUGUAAUUUUUCGAUCACAUGGCAGCUGGGAGAGGCGGUGUUUUGAAGAGGGGGGAAUCUUACAAAUAUGGCUCCAUUAAGGAAUUUGACUGCAAAUAUAAUAAUGAUGGUUCUUCUAUGGUGGAAGCUUCACCUGCCUCUAGUUCUCAUGGUGGUGAAGCUUUGCUUCGGGCAGAGAAGAGGAGGAAAGUUUCUCCUAAUGCAUGGGACAUGGGAGAGAGCGAAGUGAGAGUUUCUUCGAAAAACAGGGUCACCCAGGUUGUGGGUCUGCCUCCUACUACUCCAUCUCCGGCUGAUUCGUCUUUCGUGCUGCCUGGAGAGCAGUCAGGUGAUGGUGAUACAGAUGCGGAUUGCUUCGAGGGAAACAAGGUGCAGGGAUGGAACAUUGCAAUGUCGAGGUGGGCUUCUGCUGAUUUUUCACCAGUUGAUGCAUCUUAUGAUGAGGACAAGGAUGGUAAAGUGAGCUUAACAACUGAAAGUGGUGAGAUCCUAGAAGGAAGCUCGGGUGGGAAAGUUAGUAGAUCAACUGGGAGUAGUGAAAGAGGUAAGUCUGACCUUUCUUCUGAUGAUGAUACUGACACUGAAGAGGAUAAUAUUGUUGAUUCCAUUGAGGAGGAGGAUGAGGAACAAGGUAAAACUGCUUAUAGUUUGGUGUCGGAUUCUGAUGAAAAUCUUGGAGGUUGCAGGAAGGUGGAGAGGAAUAUAAACAUGCUCAACAGCUGCAGAAGUGUGUUUGAGUUUGAAAUGAUUAAGAAGAUAAAUGAAGGAACUUAUGGCGUUGUCUACAAAGCUAAGGAUAAGAAGACCGGGGAAAUAGUUGCAUUGAAGAAGGUGAAGAUGAACAUAGAUAAGGAAGGCUUUCCUUUGACAUCCUUGAGGGAAAUGAACAUUCUUUUGUCCUUUAAUCACCCGUCCAUUGUAGAUGUUAAAGAAGUAGUAGUUGAUGAUUUUGAUGGUGUUUUUAUGGUAAUGGAGUAUAUGGAGCACGACCUUAAGGGGCUGAUGGAUGAUAUGAAGCAGCCUUUUAGUAUAGGUGAAAUAAAAUCGUUGAUGUGGCAACUUCUUCAAGGUGUUGACUAUCUUCACGAUAAUUGGGUUCUUCACAGAGAUUUGAAGUCUUCAAACAUUCUGCUGAACAACAAAGGAGAACUGAAAAUAUGUGAUUUUGGAUUGUCUCGCCAGUAUGGGAGCCCACUGAAGCCGUAUACGCCUCUUGUGGUUACUCUACGUUACAGAGCACCUGAGCUUUUGUUAGGUUCUAAAGAAUACUCCACAGCAAUUGACAUGUGGUCUGUUGGUUGCAUAAUGGCUGAAUUAGUUGCCAGAGAGCCUCUUUUCAAGGGUAAAAAUGAAGUUGAACAACUUGAUCAGAUUUUUCGAACUCUGGGUACCCCAGAUGAGAAUAUUUGGCCCGGAUUAUCCAAAUUGCCUGGGUCUAAAGCAAAAUUUGUGAGGCAACCGUAUAAUAUGCUCUGGAAGAAGUUCCCAGUCGCAUCUUUUACUGGUCAGCCAGUUUUAUCAGAGUCAGGAUUUGACUUGUUGAGCAGGCUUCUAACUUAUGACCCUGAAAAGAGGAUAACAGCUAAAGAUGCUCUCCUUCAUGAUUGGUUCCAUGAAGCCCCUCUUUCUAAUUCUGAUUUCAAGCCUAUUUCCCCUUUUCGUUGCUAGGACAGGUACUUCUGCUCGAAGCAAUGGAACUUUACAGGAACAAUUCAAUUUUUAUGUUCAUUAUUCCCAAAAAAAAGGCUCAUGAUGUAUGAUGUGAUUUCCAAGGACAGUGUCUUGCACUUCAGUAGGUGCUGAUUUUUACCGUUAGAAGCAGCUGCUUGAUACAUAGUCACCUGACAAGUUCUGCUGGAGGAUCUCUUCAUCUGAAGAAGACGCCUACAGAAGCUCAAGAGCUGAUUGAAAUGGUUGCAAAUAACCAAUUCAUGUACACUUCUGAAAGAAAUCCUGUGGACAAUGGGACUAGUCAGAAGAAAGGAGUUUUUGAGAUUGACACUCUGAAAUGCCCUAUUGGCUCAGAAUAAAGUAUUGACUCAACAAGUCAAUAUGAUUUCUCAAAGUCUGUCUGGAAUGCAAAAUGCACCAAGCAGUACUAAAGAAGGUUCAUCUGAGGAAGAAGCUUAUGAUCCUGAGAACCCUUCAAUAGAAGAGGUAAAUUACAUGGGAGAACCCUCUGGAAACACCUAUAAUCCUUCAUGGAGAAAUCAUCCAAAUCUCUCAUGGAAAGAUCAACAGAGACCUCAACAAGGUUUCAACAAUAAUAAUGGUAGAAGUGUCAAUUUAGCCCAAACCUUAGGGCUAGCCCUCAACCCUCCAAAAAAAUUCUAGCCCACAGCCCUAAAAAUUUCAAAAUGAUAUUUUGUAAGCCCAACCCUAAUUAAGCCCUCCCAACAAAAAAGCAAAACAGGGCUGGCCCUAUAAGUCCUAAAAGCCCUAAAUCUAAUUUCUCCUCCCUGAGACCCUGAGUCCCUGACCCGAGAAGGCAAGAACUACUUGCAUUGAAACGGUGAAACUGUGAAAAGAAUCAAAGGAUCUGCGUUCUACUUCUGUGUUCUACCUGCGAAAUCUUUGGCUGCUUCUCCUCCCUCACGUGAAAUCAGAGGAGUAAACAAGCUAAAGAACUCAUUGAAAGCAUUAUAUGUCUAUUCCUAGAUUGCCAGUUUCAAGGUUUAUUAGUGCUUUUGAAUGAUUGCAUGCAAGCCAUUGUCAAUUACUUCACAGACCAGGAAUGGCAUUCAAGUUGUGAGAACAUAGCAAAAUUCGUUGCUUCCAGGUUGUUAUUACUUUUGGUGUCAAUAAUAGUAAUUCAGUGAUGCUAUUGUUUGGCACAAAUUUCUUUGGCACCACAAAACUUCCUUAUAUAGAUAGAUAACAUCAACCUUGUGCUACUUCAUGAAUCAAAAUACAUAGUUAUUCAUCACUUGUUCAAUUUUUGAGAGACGAAUUAAUACAGAGUAGCUCAGCUAGAAAGCCUUGGAUUGUGGCUGCUAGUGUUGGAGUUGUGGAGGCUUUAAAGGACCAAAGAGUGUGCAUGUGUAUGAUAAAUAAUGCCAUUGGUGGAUCUAGAUUGCAUUAUUUGAUUCUAAGGGAGAAUUUUGUAGCUUAAGCCUAAUCAAUUAGUGAGUCAUUUUUCUUGUUCUUCAUUUGUAUAUAUAGCUAUAUCAACAAGUGUGAUAAUGGUGGAGGAUGCAUGGUUCAUAUGAAAUCCUGCUUGCAAAAUAAUGGGGUAAAGAAAAUAAUAUCAAGAAAUUUCUUGAGAUAA